ACAAAUAUGAAGGCGGGCUGGAACCUCUCGGGGUUACAGCCUUGCUGAAUUAUUCACCCUUGUCUUUUGCGUACUUCUUGUUUCCUUGGUGGGUUCGCCCACCACUAGGACAAACAUAAACCUUUUGUAAUUGCAAUCAGCGUCAGUAACAAAUUAAUAAUUACAACUUUCAACAACGGAUCUCUUGGUUCUGGCAUCGAUGAAGAACGCAGCGAAAUGCGAUAAGUAGUGUGAAUUGCAGAAUUCAGUGAAUCAUCGAAUCUUUGAACGCACAUUGCGCCCUUUGGUAUUCCAAAGGGCAUGCCUGUUCGAGCGUCAUUUGUACCCUCAAGCUUUGCUUGGUGUUGGGCGUCUUGUCUCUAGCUUUGCUGGAGACUCGCCUUAAAGUAAUUGGCAGCCGGCCUACUGGUUUCGGAGCGCAGCACAAGUCGCACUCUCUAUCAGCAAAGGUCUAGCAUCCAUUAAGCCUUUUUUCAACUUUUGACCUCGGAUCAGGUAGGGAUACCCGCUGAACUUAAGCAUAUCAAUAAGCGGAGGAAAAGAAACCAACAGGGAUUGCCCUAGUAACGGCGAGUGAAGCGGCAACAGCUCAAAUUUGAAAUCUGGCUCUUUUAGAGUCCGAGUUGUAAUUUGCAGAGGGCGCUUUGGCUUUGGCAGCGGUCCAAGUUCCUUGGAACAGGACGUCACAGAGGGUGAGAAUCCCGUACGUGGUCGCUGGCUAUUGCCGUGUAAAGCCCCUUCGACGAGUCGAGUUGUUUGGGAAUGCAGCUCUAAAUGGGAGGUACAUUUCUUCUAAAGCUAAAUAUUGGCCAGAGACCGAUAGCGCACAAGUAGAGUGAUCGAAAGAUGAAAAGCACUUUGGAAAGAGAGUCAAACAGCACGUGAAAUUGUUGAAAGGGAAGCGCUUGCAGCCAGACUUGCUUACAGUUGCUCAUCCGGGUUUUUACCCGGUGCACUCUUCUGUAGGCAGGCCAGCAUCAGUUUGGGCGGUAGGAUAAAGGUCUCUGUCACGUACCUCCUUUCGGGGAGGCCUUAUAGGGGAGACGACAUACUACCAGCCUGGACUGAGGUCCGCGCAUCUGCUAGGAUGCUG
rnacentral:rRNA from 1 species